rnacentral:rRNA from 1 species
AAUGCCGCGUGAACGAGGAAGGUCUUCGGAUCGUAAAGUUCUGUUGAAGGGGAAAAGAGCGGAGAGAGGAAAUGGUCUCCGAUUGAUAUUACCCUUCGAGGAAGUCACGGCUAACUACGUGCC